rnacentral:rRNA from 1 species
GGGGAAGUGAAACAUCUCAGUACCCACAGGAAGAGAAAGCAACCGCGAUUCCGUGAGUAGUGGCGAGCGAAAGCGGAACAGGCUAAACCGAUCAUGCGUGAUAGCUGUCAGGCGUUGUAUGGUCGGGGUCGUGGGACUUCUCAGCUGUCUCUGACAGGACAGCAUGGAGUCAGAAAUUCGUGUCAUAGUCGAAGGACAUUGAAAGGUCCGGCACAGAGGGUGCGACCCCCGUAGACGAAAUGAUGCGAACUCCAGAGAACCAUCCCAAGUAGCACGGGGCCCGAGAAAUCCCGUGUGAAUCUGGCGGGACCACCCGCUAAGCCUAAAUAUUCCCUGGUGACCGAUAGCGGACAAGUACCGUGAGGGAAAGGUGAAAAGUACCCCGGGAGGGGAGUGAAAUAGAUCCUGAAACCGUGUGCCUACAAUCCGUCGGAGCCUCCUUGUGGGGUGACGGCGUGCCUUUUGAAGAAUGAGCCUGCGAGUUAGUGCUCAGUGGCGAGGUUAACCCGUGUGGGGAAGCCGUAGCGAAAGCGAGUCCGAAUAGGGCGAAUGAGUCGCUGGGUCUAGACCCGAAGCGGAGUGAUCUACCCAUGGCCAGGUUGAAGCGACGGUAAGACGUCGUGGAGGACCGAACCCACUUAGGUUGAAAACUGAGGGGAUGAGCUGUGGGUAGGGGUGAAAGGCCAAUCAAACUCCGUGAUAGCUGGUUCUCCCCGAAAUGCAUUUAGGUGCAGCGUCAUGUGUUUCUUACCGGAGGUAGAGCUACUGGAUAGCCGAUGGGCCCCACCAGGUUACUGACGUUAGCCAAACUCCGAAUGCCGGUAAGUGAGAGCAUGGCAGUGAGACUGCGGGGGAUAAGCUCCGUAGUCGAGAGGGAAACAGCCCAGACCACCAUCUAAGGUCCCUAAGCGUGUGCUAAGUGGGAAAGGAUGUGGAGUUGCAUUGACAACCAGGAGGUUGGCUUAGAAGCAGCCACCCUUUAAAGAGUGCGUAAUAGCUCACUGGUCAAGUGAUUCCGCGCCGACAAUGUAGCGGGGCUCAAGCACACCACCGAAGCUGUGGCAUUGACACUUUGCCCGGCCGUACUUGUACGGUCCAAGCGUGUUGAUGGGUAGGGGAGCGUCGUGUGGCGAGUGAAGCGGCGGAGUGAUCCAGCCGUGGACGCCACACGAGUGAGAAUGCAGGCAUGAGUAGCGAAAGACGGGUGAGAAACCCGUCCGCCGAAUAACCAAGGGUUCCAGGGUCAAGCUAAUCUGCCCUGGGUAAGUCGGGACCUAAGGCGAGGCCGACAGGCGUAGUCGAUGGACAUCCGGUUGAUAUUCCGGAACCGGCGAAGAACCGCCCAUGACGAACCUUCUGACGCUAAGCGCCUGAAACUCGUCUCGUCUCCUUCGGGAGCUCGAGGCGAGCGGAGCGCGCGACCCAAGGUUGUAGUAGUCAAGCAAUGGAGAGACGCAGGAAGGUAGCCUCCGCGUGGCGAUGGUUGUCCACGUCCAAGGGUGUAGGGAGUGAGAUAGGCAAAUCCGUCUCACACAUAUCCUGAGACCUGAUAGUGACCGCGAAUGCGGGAAGCAGGGUGAUCCUAUGCUGCCUAGAAAAUCUUCUAGCGAGGUUCUAGCCGCCCGUACCCCAAACCGACUCAGGUGGUUAGGUAGAGAAUACCAAGGCGAUCGAGUGAAUCAUGGUUAAGGAAUUCGGCAAAAUACCCCCGUAACUUCGGGAGAAGGGGGGCCUGGAUCGUGAAGUGGUUCACCCACUAGCGUGAAUGGCCGCAGAGACCAGGGAGGAGCGACUGUUUACUAAAAACACAGGUCCGUGCGAAGUCGCAAGACGAUGUAUACGGACUGACGCCUGCCCGGUGCUGGAAGGUUAAGAGGACGGGUUAGAUCUUCGGAUCGAAGCUCAGAAUUUAAGCCCCAGUAAACGGCGGUGGUAACUAUAACCAUCCUAAGGUAGCGAAAUUCCUUGUCGGGUAAGUUCCGACCUGCACGAAUGGCGUA